rnacentral:rRNA from 1 species
AUUGAACGCUAGCGGGAUGCCUUACACAUGCAAGUCGAACGGAGUGGCGAACGAGUGAGUAAUGUAUCGGAACUUGCCCAGUAGCGGCGGAUAACUACGCGAAAGCGUAGCUAAUACCGCAUACAAUUGGAGCGGCCGAGUGCGGCUUAGCUAGUUGGGGGGGUAACGGCUCACCAAGGCGACGAUCCGUAGCUGGUCUGAGAGGACGACCAGCCACACUGGGACUGAGAAACGGCCCAGACUCCUACGGGAGGCAGCAGUGGGGAAUUUUUGGCAAGGGGGGAAACCCUGACCCAGCCAUCCCGCGUGUGGGAUGAAGGCUUUCGGGUUGUAAAGCACUGUUGGCAGGAAAGCGGUACCUGACGAAUAAGCAACGGCUAACUACGUGCCAGCAGCCGCGGUAAUUC